GGGACCCAGACUGCCGCAUCUUCUCCACUGACGUCCAUCAGCUGCUUUCGCCCCGUUCGCCCGCACGAUGGGAUCGCCGCACGGAAGCCGAGCGUGCCGGCGAUUGUUCGACGACGGCGAGGACCGGGGCACGAGGCGAACCCUGGACAAGAUGCAGGAGGACAGCUCGCGAGCCUGGAACUACGACUUCGGCCGAGACCGGCCGAUGCAGGGCCGAUUCCAGUGGCAGCGCGGCAGCGACGACGACAAGAGGACGCAACGUCGGUGGGGCAGCGACGCGUCGCCGGGCUCAGAUUCGCACAGACAGAAAGAUAAGGGCUGUUCCUUCAAAGGAAGAUGUGACGAUGUCCUCGGGCGCUCUGAAAUAACGGGGAGGACUCCGUAUUGACCCCCGCUGACUACCGUUAACGGAAAACAUGGACUCUCCAGACAAGACAAGCCACGCAAGCUCGUCUUCACUGGUUUCAAGGCACCACAGGUGUUCAUCGACUGAAAGCAUCCUUUCUUGAUUGAUAUAUUUGUGUAGUGCUUCUCGCUAUGAAAGAACCUGUACAGGAUCGUCCCUGCUGCCACAUAAUCUAAAACUGCCGUGGUAACUAACUAGAGCUUCGCUGUAACCUGUACGAUCCUUUGUUGAGCUAGACUGGCAUCGCACCUAGAACACUGCUUCAGAACGUCUAUAUUUUAUACUGCGGCAAUAGAACAGCAUAGACAAGUGCAUUUAACUAUCGUAUCUAAUAGAGUCACUAUCGUAGCGUUGUAACUUCUUGACCACAAUUACGCCAUGGAGAUCUACAAUCCAUUCGGUCUCUCGAACUGCGUUCCAAGCAAAUAUUUUACACUGUUCCUAGAGAGAAUAUAUUGGCACGAUAACUACAAUGUGCAAUAUCCCUGCGUCUAAGACAAGCUUCCACACUAAGUAUAGGCGAUGCGUCGAAAAGGCCACCACGAAAAAGAGUUGCACUACAUCGAAGAAGAAAGGAGCUGCUUGAUUCAAUUUGCAAUGAAAACCCUUCGUAAAGCUCUGCUCUAUCUUUUUAUUAUUGUUAUUAUUUGUUUUGAUGCAGUGCACUAUCCGUAAAAAAACAUGCUCAAUGUUUGUUCUCUACGAUAUAAAGGGAGAAAUACGCUGUCCUAAGGACACUACACGUAGUGCUCGACAGAGACAGUUCAUUAUAGAAAAGUUAAGCAAAGAGGGCUUUGCAGGCGCACAUGCUCUUGCGUACAGCGUAUAGACGAUACCUAUAAGAUACCCUAGAGUUUACACGAAGUCUGUCGCGCACUGCCAUUCUUUUUUUUUUUGCAGCCGUCCUGUCCGGACGACGCAGAGUUAUCAGAUGACCAAACUAUCACUCGUUUCUUUAUUGACACAAAGAAACAUGGUGAUCGUAGUGGAAUAUGACAUGUAUAUACAAAUUUCUUAUUUACACAAUUUUUUUUAUUUUUGUUCUCAUCAGUAUUUUAAUGUCCGUUAUAUUUAUGCAAUCGGAUGGGCAAUGUUUUUAUUGAAAAUGUGUACAAAUCAACAACGAUCUCUGAGGCAUUCGCCAGAAGAUGGCCGCUUCCUGACAAAGUGUUCUCAGUGAUAGUCUUUUGUAGCCUGAGCACGUACUUCAAUUAGGUGAAAUAAUUAUUCUCUUUCGAAUGCUCAAACACUACAUCAGUCAAGUUUGUGACUUUCCCCAUCUAUCUUUAGCAGCAAAAUCAGCGUGACAACGUAAGAGGAACUUGUUUGUGAAGCAAAAUAGAGCUCCCUGUGCUCAGGCUUCAUGUUCCCUGUCUACAUUUUUUGUUCUAUGAGUGACCUUCUUCACGCGAUGCCUCCAACCUGUGAAAACUCAAUUUGUACAGCUAUAUUCUGAAAUUUCGAGAAUAUAUGAGAAUACUCGGUAGAACUAUUUUUCUAAGCAUAGGCGUCAAAAUAAGCGUUAUUAACUGCCAAAGUAUGUUUUGUUUGUUUGUACUUAUCGGCUGGUGCUGGUGGAAGGUGGUGAUAUGUAGAGUGCUCUAUAACGCACAGGCGUUCACAUUGUAUAUCCCUCACAUGUUAUAAUCAUUACGCCUCCUGUGCUCGUUGUUUGUUUUUCCUCUGUUGAAAUCAAGAGAUCGUUAUAUUGUCAAAGCUAAAUUAUCGGCGUCGUUCAUGCGUCCUUAUAAAUUGUUCAAAUGGUCUCGUGUUGGGCAAAUGGCAAAUGGUCACAAGUGUUCCUUGACAGCUCGGCAAUGCAGAUAUGUGCUCCCGGACGCUCUGCCUCGUUUCGAUGCGGGCCACAAGAGCGUAACCUAGCGCGAUUUCUAUAAUUGUAACUUUGGUAGCGGUUCAGUGCAUUCAUGAUUUCUUAGUUUCUAAGCGCCAAAGGAGAAAUUGCAUAUUUUGCUCCACUACUUGUAUUCCUUAUAUGGUGUGGGCGAAAAUAAGCAGACAUCAUGAAAUUAGUGCUACGGCGCAGCUAGUUGGCUCCAUUAUACCGAAUACACGAUCCUUUUUAUUCGAAUGUACACUAACGUCUAAAAUAUGCAUCGCAAGUUCUUGGUUACUGAACCUCGGCUUAAUACCGCUAACAUUUUCCCACUUGAAAUUUUUUUUCUUUUUUCACCAGUAUCGAAAAAGCAAAUGUGACAUUGCUGGAUCAGUAACACAUAAAAAAUUCGGUAUUUCUCUGCCUGCUCCUUGAUAUAAUGUUUUCCUUCUAAGUCUAUGCAUAAUCAAGAGGCAUGAACAUCAGCCGCUUUGUUCAUUCCAGCAACAAUAAAACGCUAAGUGCUCUUCAACAUUAGACCGUAAGCCCAUAUCGCUUAUUUAAGUCAAUACUAUAAGUACUUCGAUCUCGCUAUAUGCUGUGAGCAAAUUCCGCAGUAACUGGCUAUGCCAACUGAAGAACAUGUCGCUGGGUCAGCUGGUAAUUCAUCUUGGUAGCAGCUUUAGAGCGCAAAGAAACACACUUGCUUACGCGCACAAACACCCGAAAAAGAACCCGCCUUAUCACAAACCACUCGUGCGACAAAGGGGGUCCUUUGUGUGUGUGUGUGCGUGUUGCGAGUGUAUUUUCUUGUGAUCUCAAGCUCUUACCAAAACACCAACUGAACUUUUUUUAUAAACGUGGCCUUUCUGUCAUGUGCUUGUAAAAAAACUUAAUCAUUGAUUUUUAUGGUUGUACAUUCUUAAAUACUGCCACAACAGAGAGCAGUAAUAGUUUUAUUUUAUCUUAUGUCGCUAUGUGGUUUAACAUCUUGUCGUACCGUGCAGCGCUCGCUGACUUGAAUGUGAUACCGCAUGCAUCAUACUUCACAUGAUAAAUAUUAUUCAUCAACGAUAUUCAUACUUUGUCAUCAUCGUACUUGAAACUUGGGACUUCAUUUGUGUUUGCACAUUGUAUUGGUGAAGAAAAUUUUCUUGUACGUUAUUGUUCCGGUGACCAUCUGAAGCGCAUAAAUAUUCUGCGCUACUAUGUAUAAAGGUGUUGAAUUUAGCUUGCUAUCGUGAGAAUAAAAGAAUUCAUUA